rnacentral:rRNA from 1 species
GACGAACGCUGGCGGCAUGCCUAAUACAUGCAAGUAGAACGCUGAAGAGAGGAGCUUGCUCUUCUUGGAUGAGUUGCGAACGGGUGAGUAACGCGUAGGUAACCUGCCUUGUAGCGGGGGAUAACUAUUGGAAACGAUAGCUAAUACCGCAUAACAAUAGGUGACACAUGUCAUUUAUUUGAAAGGGGCAAUUGCUCCACUACAAGAUGGACCUGCGUUGUAUUAGCUAGUAGGUGAGGUAACGGCUCACCUAGGCGACGAUACAUAGCCGACCUGAGAGGGUGAUCGGCCACACUGGGACUGAGACACGGCCCAGACUCCUACGGGAGGCAGCAGUAGGGAAUCUUCGGCAAUGGGGGCAACCCUGACCGAGCAACGCCGCGUGAGUGAAGAAGGUUUUCGGAUCGUAAAGCUCUGUUGUAAGUCAAGAACGAGUGUGAGAGUGGAAAGUUCACACUGUGACGGUAGCUUACCAGAAAGGGACGGCUAACUACGUG